rnacentral:rRNA from 1 species
UAGUCUGAUGUGAAGCCUUCGGCUCACCGUAAGAUGUGGCAUCGGAACUGUGUGGAACUUGAGUGCAGAAGAGGAGAGUGGAAUUCCAUGUGUAGCGGUGAAAUGCGUAGAUAUAUGGAAGAACACCAGUGGCGAAGGCGGCUCUCUGGUCUGUAACUGACGCUGAGGCUCGAAAGCAUGGGUAGCAAACAGGAUUAGAUACCCUGGUAGUCCAUGCCGUAAACGAUGAGUGCUAAGUGUUGGGGGGUUUCCGCCCCUUAGUGCUGCAGCUAACGCAUUAAGCACUCCGCCUGGGGAGUACGACCGCAAGGUUGAAACUCAAAGGAAUUGACGGGGGCCCGCACAAGCGGUGGAGCAUGUGGUUUAAUUCGAAGCAACGCGAAGAACCUUACCAGGUCUUGACAUCCCAUUGACCGCUUAAAAAAUAGGCUUUUCCUUUCGGGAACAGUGGAGACGGGGGGUGCGUGUUUGUCCUCCUCUCGUGUCGAGAGAUGUUGGUUUAACUCCCGACAAGAGCGCACCCUUUGAUUUUAUUUGCCAGUUUUCUUGUGGGCUCUCUAGGGAGAGUGCGGGAGAUAAACCAGAAGAGGGUGGAGAUGACCUCAAAUCAUCGUGCCUUUUAAAACUUGGGUA